rnacentral:rRNA from 1 species
GACGAACGCUGGCGGCGUGCCUAAUACAUGCAAGUUGAGCGCUGAAGGUUGGUACUUGUACCAACUGGAUGAGCAGCGAACGGGUGAGUAACGCGUGGGGAAUCUGCCUUUGAGCGGGGGACAACAUUUGGAAACGAAUGCUAAUACCGCAUAAAAACUUUAAACACAAGUUUUAAGUUUGAAAGAUGCAAUUGCAUCACUCAAAGAUGAUCCCGCGUUGUAUUAGCUAGUUGGUGAGGUAAAGGCUCACCAAGGCGAUGAUACAUAGCCGACCUGAGAGGGUGAUCGGCCACAUUGGGACUGAGACACGGCCCAAACUCCCACGGGAGGCAGCAGUAGGGAAUCUUCGGGAAUGGACGAAAGUCUGACCGAGCAACGCCGCGUGAGUGAAGAAGGUUUUCGGAUCGUAAAACUCUGUUGGUAGAGAAGAACGUUGGUGAGAGUGGAAAGCUCAUCAAGUGACGGUAACUACCCAGAAAGGGACGGCUAACUACGUG